ACGCUCGACACCUACGGGAGCAGCAGUGGGGAAUAUUGGGCAAUGGAGGCAACUCUGACCCAGCAACGCCGCGUGAAUGAUGAAGGUCUUCGGAUUGUAAAGUUCUGUGACGGGGGACGAACACAAUGACGGUACCCCGAUAGCAAGCCACGGCUAACUACGUGCUAGCAGCCGCGGUAAUCUGAGCGGGCUGGCAAGGC
rnacentral:rRNA from 1 species